rnacentral:misc_RNA from 1 species
GAUGAAGAACGUAGCGAAAUGCGAUAAGUAAUGUGAAUCGCAGAAUUCAGUGAAUCAUCGAAUCUUUGAACGCACCUUGCGCCCUUUGGCCAUUCCGAAGGGCAUGCCUGUUUGAGUAUCAUGAACACCUCAACUCUUCAUGGUUUUCCAUGAUGAGCUUGGACUUUGGGGGUCUUGCUGGCCUGUGGGUCGGCUCCUCUCAAAUGAAUCAGCUUGCCGGUUUUUGGUGGGCAUCACAGGUGUGAUAACUAUCUACGCUUGUGGUUUUCCACCAGGGUAACCUUCAGCAGUGGAGGUUCACUGGAGCUUACAAAUGUCUCUCCUCUGUGAGGACAGCCCUUUGAAUGUUUGAUCUCAAAUCAGGUAGGACUACCCGCUGAACUUAAGCAUAUCAAAAGCGGAGGA